ensembl:lncRNA
GGGCUCCUGCAAGCGAGAGCACCGUGUGUCACACGCCACGAUACAGGGCGCCCUCUGUCACGCACAAACACGCCACACACGCCCCCCACUGCUCCUCUGCCACAACCCAGCGCUCACAUCUGCAUGUUGAGGCAUAACGUCCAUUCAUACACAUUGCACACAUGCGAUAUCCAUUAGUCAGACAAACGAUUAAAAUAUUUAAUCACGAUUAAUCACAUUUAUGUCAUAGUUAACCCCAAAUUAAUCACAAUUAAUCACACAUUUAUAUCUAUUCUAAAUGUAAUGUAUUUUUUUUCAGAUUUUUUUUUCAUUUGAAUGCUCUUAUCAACAUGGAACAGUGGAUCCACUCGCUUUAUGCAAAGGUUUUAUUUUAUUGAAAAACAACUUUGCCGAACAGGGGGGUGCAAAAUAAAGUGAUAAAGUGCACAUUUCAGGUAAACAAGGACUAGAGUGACUGACUCUGUUAUUCCCAGAAGUCUCCUUUCAGAAGUCUCCUUCCAGAAGCCUCCUUCCAGAGGCCUCCUUCCAGAAGCCUCCUUCCAGAAGCCUCCUUCCAGAGGUCUCCUUCCAGAAGCCUCCUUCCAGAGGCCUCCUCUCUCUCCGAUAUCACCGCCGCGGGAAAUGGAAUUUUUUGACAGGAUCAAAACAAGUUGUAAGCCGUUUGAGUUUCUGACAAAGACAAUGUUCGUGAUUCUGGCGCCUUGAGGAAAGCGACAGCAUCACAAUGAGUCCUCUGUCUGUCCCAAACGUGUCCACACACACACACACACACACACACACACACACACACACACACACACACACACGCAGACACACACAGUGUGUUCUAGCAGGGAGGGUACUGGGAAGCUCUUCAGUUUUAGUGGUUUUCCAGUGGAAUCUGUCUCAUACCUGUGUGUCAGGGCUCAGUGAAGCGCAUGUCUCUGCGUAUCCUGGAGGGGCAUGCGGGGGCCGAGAGGCGGGGCUUAGGACUGUACUCCACUUGUGUGUCUGUGUGUGUCUGUGUGUGUGUGUGUGUGUGUGUGACAGCUCUGGUUUCAUCCAACAGGGACGCAAACAUUCACCUUCAGGAAUCCUUCAGGUUAUUGUUUUUAAAAACAGCUGAGAACUGAGAGAAAAAAGCAGGGAGGAGCUGUCUGUCAUCACACAAGCCCCUCCCCUUCCUCUCUCACACACACACACACUUUAAGCUACGAUAAGCGCUUGGAAACAGUUCAAUCAGUGAGAGAUUUUCUCUACUGAACAAACAGACCCACACCAGCAUGUACAGACAACCCUGAACUCCUCAACUCUCUCCACACACACAUGAACGCACACACACACACACACACACACACACACACACACACUCAUAACAAACAACAAGUUGAUUGAGGACAAAAUCUGGAUCUGAACGUGCGCCUUCUCUUUAUGUUGGAGACUUCACCACCUUUUCAAUGGCUUGCUGACUUGUUUUUAUAUUAUCAGCUCCUCUUCGAUGAGCCGACGCUAGGCGGCUAACAGGAAGCUAGCUCGUCAUCAUUGUUGCGUGAGCUUGAUUAAAUCACUUCACUUGUUCUACGAACUCCAGCAGGAUUUAUGAGUUUGGGUGUGAAGGAAGGGUCACGCGUCUGCGUUGGCAUUUGCAGUGCGCACGCUAGGUGUUAGCAUUCAGGCUAGCUGCUAUGUGCUAGUCUGCAGAGAGAGACGUGGUGGACGUAGGAAGGCGUCUGAUGCUCCUCUCUGGUCCAUGUUUACCGUCUACGAGAGAACAGAAAACAUCUGCUGCCUGGAGACAGGAGGACGGAUCCAUCGAGACAUGGGAGAACCACCGGGGGGGGGGGGGGGGGGGAAUCAACAGAUAAUAAUUGCCUGACAAUUCUCCCUCCCUCACACAAGGGGGGGGGGGGGGGGCGUGCAGAGAGAAAAAACAAGGACAACGAGGAGCAGAUGUGAAAAACACACAGAUACACACCGAGUCUGGUAGUCUGCCCAAGACUUACCGAGCUGCCCCCCCCCCCCCCCACACACACACACACACAUCAACACCAUCCACCAUCAUCAGAGGAAACAGCUGCACGGGCCGCGUGGGUUGAAAUGGGUUUUUCAGAUACCCCUUGACUUUCCGAGACAGGAAGCUUGGGAAGGAGCCUCCAGGAAGUGGCUCUCACAGCAGAGUGGGGGGGCGAACACAAUUUUCAAGUGUUUGCGUGCCGGAGGGAGACACGGCGCUUUUAUGAGCCGUCAAUCAAUCAGUCAGCAGCCCAUCAAACCAUGAGCUGCUGACGUCUCGGAAGGUUCGGUACCGGGACAUGAAACCACCUCAGGCUGCAGGAGAAGCUCCUUCACCUGCAGCUUCUAUCCACCAGCCCCCUGUGACGCACUGUGAGGACGCUCUCUGUGGACACUUGUUCAUGUGCAACAUCUCAGCUCGCCGCUGUUCUAAUGUAAGGUAACACUGUCUGUCAAAUAACAGACAGAAAAGACACUGAGUCAGUGACAGAAAGACAGCGGCAGAGGGACAGUCACAAAGACAGAGGGACAGUCACAAAGACAGAGAGACAGAGGGACAGUCACAAAGACAGAGAGACAGAGGGACACUCACAAAGGCAGAGGGACAGUCACAAAGACAGAGAGACAGUCACAAAGACAGAGAGACAGAGGGACAGUCACAAAGACAGAGAGAAUUUUAGAAGUUUAUGUAAAAACACUGCGAGCACAAAGACUUUGUGUCAGUCGCUCUUCACACUGGUGUGAUUCUCCUUGUCAGAGAAAUAUUCCUCUUCACCUGAGGGAACCGCCCCCCUGCACCUCCUCUUCCACCUGAGGGUGAGGCGAGGUAAGGUCCUCCGGAGAGGGCCACGAGGGGGCUAAUGUUCUAAUAAAAUGUUGGGUUUAGAAUUUUGGUUAAAAACCUUUAAAACCAACCAUAACAAAUUCUCUUCAAAGGUUAUUCUCAUAAGAGGAUAUUAAAACCUUUAUUAACAAGCCUAUAUCGAGGCUGUCCCCAUCACCUCGUUUGUUGAAAAGGUUUUGAGGUCCCUUAUGUUUUUUUGUCUUUCAGGUUCUCAAUCCGGCGUGGAGUGGAGGUGAGGUGGCUUCCAGCGGGGGGGUCAAGUCAAGCUAGAGGGAUCUUUUUUAUAGAUAGAUAGUUUUCUUCUUUUUGACAGGUUUGGUCUCUGACUGCCUCUGGGACUUAGAGGGUUAGUAGACCCACAGCUCAGUUAGGAUCCAGAUCUCCAAUCUGGAGAGGGGUACUAGAGGGGGGUUAGGUUUAGGGCUAAAGGGAGUUUAGGAUAAGGGUCCAAGGCGGGGCUAGGGAUGGGAUUGGGAUCUGGAUCUGGUGCUGGAGGGAGGGCCCGACCGGAGGUGAUGGCUUAGCCCAGGUCGGGCACCAAGGUCCGGGCGGGCGUCAGGGACUGGUACGGUGCUGGAUGCGUUUUCCUCUUCCGGUAGCGACAGGGUCCAGGUUUCAAUGGAAGACUCGGUAAGUGGUUUUAUAUAGCGGCCUCUGGCAUCUGAGACCGCUUUUGCCAUUGACUCUGUCUCCACAGGCCCAAUGCCAGGACAUAUUCUCCCGCAUCCAAUUUGAAGAGUUGUCUAUGAUUUCUGCCACUACUUCAGGGUUGAUAGAUGAUGGUUUUAUGGUGGAGGCAAGUUUAGUUAUUCAUUUCAACAUUUGUGUGAAUCAGCACACAAACUAAAGGAAUGUUUAAUGCUGAGUCUUUAACCUUUGCUUCGGAAUCCACAUUAUUUACUGUGCACAUGUACGAGUCUGUCUUACACAACUUCAUGGCCUUUAUUUAGUGUAUUCUUCAUGCUCCAUGCUUCAUGCACAGGUCCUCGUGUUGUUUACCCGUCUAACAGAGGCCCACGGAGGCCGGACGGGUUCGGGUCACUUGGAGAAUGUUCUCUCUGGAGCUGCCUCGGAUCAGUUGUGUGAUUACUGAACACACUUACCAGCUGACUACCAAAAGAAAAGCUGUGAUAAGUCAGCACAAUAACUUCUGCGUGCAGUAACCAUGGAGAUGAGCAAGGUCACACUGAACCACCGGGAAACCCGUUACCCAGGAUGCACGUGGUUUCACAGAGGGAGAAGCAGAGACGUUACUCAUCAAACACGGCAGAUAGAAGGCUUGACGACACGUGAUGGACAGAGCGACGAGCUGAGGAGGAACACCAGGAGACAACGAGAGGAGAAGGAGCAAGAUAGUGGGUCAGCCCAGCUUGGCGUUGACCUCAAAUGACCUGUGGGGGCUGCUGUCUGCCAACAUGUCAAAGAGUCUGGAGUGGAAGCAGAGCGCUCAUCAUCCGCUAUCUCAGUGUGACCGCAGAGCUUCAUGAGGAGGACCAUUGUUGCUCUGUCUGUGAAGGGUUUUUCUAGACAACGUGAAUGUUCCUGUCAUGUCCUUCAAUAUUGUGGCUUCAGGUAAAGUAUUGUUUCUGUGAAAGAGUUUAACAACAGACAACAAGUCGACAGUAGCUCGCUGGUCCCAGAGAAAAAGAGGAUUAGCUUCUAAACAAGUGUUGUAAUUCUUUGACACAAUAAUACAAGUGUUCUUUCUUCGAGAGAGCACCAGAACCUGAGGGGGCCCGUCUCAUCAUCGCCUCACAGAGACGUGCAGAAGGCGUUGGAGAAGUGUCUUGAGAGUCUAGUGAAGGGCUCAUCCACGUCCUACAGGGUCCGUCAUCAGGAAUCAGGAAACAUUUAUUGCCAAAAUAUGUCAAACAUACAAGGAAUUUGUCUUGGCGGUUGGUGCGUGACAGCAGACAGUAACAAUAAGACAGGCGUGCAUGAACACCAACACAUCCCUGGGCCUCCUGGACCCCACCAACGCAUCUCUGGGCCUCCUGGACCACACCAACGCAUCUCUGGGCCUCCUGGACCACACCAACACAUCUCUGGGCCUCCUGGACCCCACCAACACAUCUCUGGGCCUCCUGGACCACACCAACACAUCUCUGGGCCUCCUGGACCACACCAACACAUCUCUGGGCCUCCUGGACCACAC